AUUGAACGCUGGCGGCAGGCCUAACACAUGCAAGUCGAACGGUAGCACAGAGAGCUUGCUCUCGGGUGACGAGUGGCGGACGGGUGAGUAAUGUCUGGGAAACUGCCCGAUGGAGGGGGAUAACUACUGGAAACGGUAGCUAAUACCGCAUAACGUCGCAAGACCAAAGUGGGGGACCUUCGGGCCUCACACCAUCGGAUGUGCCCAGAUGGGAUUAGCUAGUAGGUGGGGUAAUGGCUCACCUAGGCGACGAUCCCUAGCUGGUCUGAGAGGAUGACCAGCCACACUGGAACUGAGACACGGUCCAGACGCCUACGGGAGGCAGCGGUGGGGAAUAUUGCACGAUGGGCGCAAGCCUGAUGCAGCCAUGACGCGUGUAUGAAGAAGGCCUUCGGGUUGUAAAGUACUUUCAGCGGGGAGGAAGGCGGUGAAGUUAAUAGCUUCACCGAUUGACGUUACCCGCAGAAGAAGCACCGGCUAUCUCCGUGCCAGCAGCCGCCGUAA
rnacentral:rRNA from 1 species